rnacentral:rRNA from 1 species
CCUACGGGUGGCAGCAGUGAGGAAUAUUGGUCAAUGGACGAGAGUCUGAACCAGCCAAGUAGCGUGAAGGAUGACUGCCCUAUGGGUUGUAAACUUCUUUUGUCAGGGACGAAGAAAGUGACGGUACCUGACGAAUAAGCCACGGCUAACUACGUGCCAGCAGCCGCGGUAAUACGUAGGUGGCAAGCGUUAUCCGGAUUUACUGGGUGUAAAGGGCGUGUAGGCGGGACUGCAAGUCAGAUGUGAAAUUCCAGGGCUCAACCCUGGAACUGCAUUUGAAACUGUAGUUCUUGAGUGAUGGAGAGGCAGGCGGAAUUCCGUGUGUAGCGGUGAAAUGCGUAGAUAUACGGAGGAACACCAGUGGCGAAGGCGGCCUGCUGGACAUUAACUGACGCUGAGGCGCGAAAGCGUGGGGAGCAAACAGGAUUAGAUACCCGAGUAGUC